rnacentral:rRNA from 1 species
CCACGAGACACGUGAAACCUUGUGGGAAGCAGGGAGGACCACCUCCCAAGGCUAAAUACUACCUGAUGACCGAUAGUGAAGCAGUACCGUGAGGGAAAGGUGAAAAGAACCCCGGGAGGGGAGUGAAAUAGAACCUGAAACCAUGUGCCUACAACCGAUCAAAGCACCUUAUGUGUGUGAUGAUGUGCUUUUUGUAGAACGAGCCAACGAGUUACGGUAUGUAGCAAGGUUAAGUACUUAAGGUACGGAGCCGAAGGGAAACCGAGUCUUAAUAGGGCGACUAGUUGCAUGCUGUAGACCCGAAACCGGGUGACCUAUCCAUGGCCAGGUUGAAGCGAGGGUAAAACCUCGUGGAGGACCGAACCACGUUGCUGUUGAAAAAGCAUGGGAUGAGCUGUGGAUAGCGGAGAAAUUCCAAUCGAACUCGGAUAUAGCUGGUUCUCCUCGAAAUAGCUUUAGGGCUAGCGUCGGAAAAUGUGAGUACUGGGGGUAGAGCACUGAAUGGGCUAGGGGGCAUAGCGCUUACCGAACCUUAUCAAACUCCGAAUACCAGAUACUAUCAGUCCGGCAGUCAGACUGCGAAAGAUAAGUUCCGUAGUCAAAAGGGAAACAGCCCAGAUCGUCAGCUAAGGUCCCAAAGUGUAAGUUAAGUGGAAAAGGAUGUGGGAUUUCUAAGACAACUAGGAUGUUGGCUUAGAAGCAGCCACUCAUUAAAAGAGUGCGUAAUAGCUCACUAGUCAAGAGAUCCUGCGCCGAAAAUGUCCGGGGCUCAAACUUACC